rnacentral:lncRNA from 1 species
ACCACUCUGUGGGACCCCAGGCGGCGCACAUCCUGAUGCUCUAGUCUGUUUCUGGGAGGCCUGGAGUGGAGGGGCUGUGCCAGGAAUUGAGGCCCCUGACCUCGAAGGUCUGGAGGACACGGGCUAGACGGAGGCGCUGACAGGGCGUGCGUUAAAGGGAGAAAUGAGGACUCUGAGAAGGAGCAGGCACCGUGAGCCUCACAGGACAAGGUCACGGGGCUGCGGGGGAAGGGCCUGCACCAGGGACAGGUGUGCACAGGCAUCAGGUGCGGCCGCAGCCAGGCUCAGUCCCUCUUGUGCAGAUCAGUCUGCUGCCCUUGUGAACCCUUGAGCAAAAGAAGUCACCACAGGAGAGACCACCAGGGACAGGUGUGCACAGGCAUCAGGUGCGGCCGCAGCCAGGCUCAGUCCCUCUUGUGCAGAUCAGUCUGCUGCCCUUGUGAACCCUUGAGCAAAAGAAGUCACCACAGGAGAGACUGGGACAGUGGAAGUU